GAAUCAUCACAUUAUCUCUGACUAAUGCUGAGUAAAGUACUAUGUUGCAAGAAGUUCUGAGGAGCAAAAUGAAAACAAAAUGAGGAAGAAGAAAUAAAGAAGAAAGAAAAGAAAAAGGAAUGAAAAAGAAAAAUAUAAUAAUAAGAAAAAGAAUAAAAUGCUUCUCAGUUCUUUGAACCUCAUUAAAAGUUCCCAGUGCUCUCAAAACUAAGGAUUUGUCCAUACUCAUUUUCCAACCAUGUGCAAUCCAAUAACGAGGACUUCAUUUGUGCCUCGGAAUCAUUCAUUUGCCACUUGCACAUGUUCACUUAUCUAAAUAUGUGUGUUUCAUCCCUCUUCC
rnacentral:lncRNA from 1 species